rnacentral:rRNA from 1 species
AUGAGGCCGGCGGGGACGAACGCAGCUACCGCGCCAGUCCAGCGAUGGAUUGCACCAGAGGCGAGUUUGGUAAAGGUUAAUUCAGAUGGAGCCCUUGCUCGGAACAGACGAGGCGGGGUUGUGGCUGCUCUCUGUCGUGACCACAAUGGGAUGUUUUUGGGGUCAUUAGCAAUGUUCUAUCAAGGAGUCAGAGACCCAAUGAUUUUGGAGACAUAUGCUUGUCGAGAAGCACUAGCUUUGGCUGAGGAUUUAGCAGCCCAAAAUAUCGUGGUGGCCUCUGAUUGUCAAGGAGUAGUCAAUGACAUAAACCAUGGGACAGGCGGUCCGAAUGCGGCCAUCAUACAUGAAAUCAUAGCCCGUAGUUCUACUUUUACCUCUUGUAGUUUCUUGCAUGAAUGCAGAAACUUUAAUUUUGAGGCGCACAAUCUCGCCAAAUUUGCUUGUACUUUACCUAUAGGUAGACACGUUUGGUUGGGUAAUCCUCAUGACCCAAAUCUUGUACCUAUGAAUAUUGUUUUGAAUCAAUAA